rnacentral:lncRNA from 1 species
CGGGCCGCUCAGCCCGGCAUCCCCGGCUGGGGAGGGGGGCUGGGGGCGCGCGCUCUCCCCGCCCCCGGGCCCACGGCGCUGCGCUGGGGGAGGGGGCUCAGCCCCGGCCCCCCGCGCGCUGGCGUCGGCUCCGGGGGGGGCGCUGCGCGGCGGCCGGACCGGGGGCGCGCCGCGGCCGCAUCUCCUCCGCCCGCCGCGGCCGCCGCUGCGACUCGCGGCUCUGCCACCUCCGCCCCCCCUUUCCAGCAACCCCCCACCUCCCCAAAGCCGGGCUGGAGCCGCGCAAAACCCGGCCCGGAGCAACCGCGGCGCGGAGCGGAGGGCGGAGCCGGUGGGUGGCGUUUGGGUGGAAACUGAGACCCAGAGAGCCGUGACUUGACUGAUCCCACAGCCAGGAAAUGGUGGAGCCUGGAUUUGAACCCCAGCUUUUAAGAAGAAGGUGCCACUGUCCUGGAAGAACUCUCAGGACAGCAUUAGUGUCUCAGGGAUCCCCCUAAUCGGAGGGGCCUUAAGCCUAAUCAUGAUUGUCACUGAAGAUCCAGGAGGGCUUCCUGGAGGAGGAGGCAGCUCCAUUCUGAAAUGCCAAGGGUACAGCUUUAUUGGGACAGCCAGUGUCUCUGAAUAUGUAGGUUUUGCACAGAGCUUGUACUGCCCCAGGGCCUGUACACUGCCUGUCCCCUCUGCCUUGUGCACUCUUUCCCUAGAUGUCCAAAUGGCUCCUUUCCUCACCUACCCCAAAUCUCAAUUCCAGUGUUUCCCCAGCCUCCCCUCAUUUCAGUAAUCACUCUGCAGUGAGCUAGGAUUGCGCCACUGCACUCCAGCUUGGAUAAGAGAACAAGACCCUGUCUCUUAA